rnacentral:rRNA from 1 species
GUGGGGAAUAUUGCACAAUGGGGGAAACCCUGAUGCAGCGACGCCGCGUGAGUGAUGAAGUAUUUCGGUAUGUAAAACUCUAUCAGCAGGGAAGAUAAUGACGGUACCUGACUAAGAAGCACCGGCUAAAUACGUGCCAGCAGCCGCGGUAAUACGUAUGGUGCAAGCGUUAUCCGGAUUUACUGGGUGUAAAGGGAGCGCAGACGGCACUGCAAGUCUGAAGUGAAAGCCCGGGGCUCAACCCCGGGACUGCUUUGGAAACUGUAGAGCUAGAGUGCUGGAGAGGCAAGCGGAAUUCCUAGUGUAGCGGUGAAAUGCGUAGAUAUUAGGAAGAACACCAGUGGCGAAGGCGGCUUGCUGGACAGUAACUGACGUUCAGGCUCGAAAGCGUGGGGAGCAAACAGGAUUAGAUACCCCGGUAGUCC